rnacentral:lncRNA from 1 species
GGAGGGCGACAGCCCAGGCCUCACUGCAUCUGCAGCCCUGGACUGGGAACAUGUAUGCUGAGUGAUUGGAGGGGGUUGAGCUGGCUCCUAAAGGAGCAAAUCCUACAGAGAUUCUGAGGAAUGUGUGAGGUAUUACCUGGCAGAGCUGUUGCUACAACAGAGUGAUAUUUUAAACAGCUUCUACAAGCUAGAGCCUUCAGUUAUCUUCAGAUUGUCAGCUGCAGGGGGGGAAGAGUGAAUGAAACCUUGUUUAUGCCACUGAUGGCCAAGAAGAUCCAGUAUAAGGCUCUUCAAAAUGCAGCAGUAUUCCUAUUUGUCCAGCUGAGAGUGCUAGUCUCC